rnacentral:tRNA from 1 species
GGAGGCGUGGCAGAGCGGCCGAAUGCAGUCGCCUUGAAAGCGACCGUCGGGUGAAACCGACCGGGGGUUCAAAUCCCUCCGCCUCCG